ensembl:lncRNA
CUGAGGUUUAAUGUGUAAGCCCUCGGGCCUCUGUGGCAUGCAUUGACCUGUUGGCAUCGCUGUUUGUUUUCUGCAGGAGUUGCUGUUGGAUGAGCUGGUGAUGGGCGUGGCCUUGCUCUUGUUGGAAGCCCCUUCAGAUCAGCUGACCAGCCUUCUCAGACUUGCACUGAGUUUGGUCCCUGAACAAGCGGAGGCGUCGCCCUGGUUGAGUCCGGUCCUGAUUCUCCCUGUGUUGCAGCUCCUGUCCUGCUUGGGUCUCACUGAGCCGCUGUCUGACCAGAACACACACAGCACCAACCACAGGCUGGCUCACAGCCUGCUGCGCAGCAUUAGCAGGCCCGCAGAUAAACCCUAGCAGGUAGCCUAGCAGGUAGCCCAACAGGUAACCCAGCAGGUAACCCAACAGGUAGCCCAACAGGUAGCCUAGUAGGUAGCCCAGCAGGUAGCCCAGCAGGUAACCCAGCAGGUAGCCCAACAGGUAACCCAGCAGGUAGCCCAGCAGGUAACCCAGCAGGUAGCCCAACAGGUAACCCAGCAGGUAGCCCAGCAGGUAACCCAACAGGUAGCCCAACAGGUAGCCCAACAGGUAAC